GUAUCCUGGCUCAGGAUGAACGCUAGCGGCAGGCCUAACACAUGCAAGUCGAGGGGCAGCGGGGAUUGAGCUUGCUCAAUUUGCCGGCGACCGGCGCACGGGUGCGUAACGCGUAUGUAACCUACCCUGAACUGGGGAAUAACACUGAGAAAUCGGUACUAAUACCCCAUAAUACACUGGAAGGCAUCUUUUGGUGUUGAAAGCUCCGGCGGUUCAAGAUGGACAUGCGUUGUAUUAGCUAGUUGG
rnacentral:rRNA from 1 species